GGCAGUUUAGCCUAGUGGUUAAGGUGUCCAUGUCCUACAUUGUAGUACCUGGGUUAGAUUCCCAGAUGUGGCU
rnacentral:tRNA from 1 species